rnacentral:rRNA from 1 species
AGUGAACGCUGGCGGUAGGCCUAACACAUGCAAGUCGAACGGCAGCACAGUAAGAGCUUGCUCUUACGGGUGGCGAGUGGCGGACGGGUGAGGAAUACAUCGGAAUCUACUUUUUCGUGGGGGAUAACGUAGGGAAACUUACGCUAAUACCGCAUACGACCUACGGGUGAAAGCAGGGGAUCUUCGGACCUUGCGCGAUUGAAUGAGCCGAUGUCGGAUUAGCUAGUUGGCGGGGUAAAGGCCCACCAAGGCGACGAUCCGUAGCUGGUCUGAGAGGAUGAGCAGCCACACUGGAACUGAGACACGGUCCAGACUCCUACGGGAGGCAUCAGUGGGGAAUAUUGGACAAUGGGCGCAAGCCUGAUCCAGCCAUACCGCGUGGGUGAAGAAGGCCUUCGGGUUGUAAAGCCCUUUUGUUGGGAAAGAAAAGCAGCAGGUUAAUACCCCGCUGUUCUGACGGUACCCAAAGAAUAAGCACCGGCUAACUUCGUG